rnacentral:rRNA from 1 species
AUGGAUUUGCUGCUCCCGAUCUCGUUUGCGCCACCUAUUUCCUGCUGCUCCCUUACGCCGCAGGCUGCCGUUGCUCGCUUCUCGCACGAGCUUCCACCAGCUUCCCGACGUUCUCCCUCUCGCCUGCCAGCGACAGCAGCGCGGCCAGCGCGUCCUUCUUUGUGCUCGUCGGGCCCGUGCGCACGAGGUGGACUAACUUUUCCACGACGGAAGGCUCGGCGGCACGUAUGGACGGACGCCAGGCUGAGCAAGGCCGUCGCGGCGUUCUCCUUGGCGCGCCACGUCGUGCCGGAGCUCAUGAUGUGGGUCACUGCCUCGAUGGCGCCAUCGGCGUGCAUGAUGCGCUUCUUGUUGGCCUCGAGGAUCGAAAGGUUGAGCAGCGCGGUCACGGCGUUGAGCUGGAGCCCGGCGUCCUCGGACUAG